GAUGAACGCUAGCGGCAGGCUUAACACAUGCAAGUCGAGGGGUAAGUUCCGCUUCGGCGGAAACACGACCGGCGCACGGGUGCGUAACGCGUAUGCAACCUACCUUUAACUGGGGAAUAGCUCUCGGAAACGGGAAUUAAUACCCCAUAACAUUUCAAAAUCGCAUGGUUUUGAGAUUAAAGCUCCGGCGGUUAAAGAUGGGCAUGCGUGACAUUAGCUUGUUGGUAAGGUAAUAGCUCACCAAGGCUACGAUGUCUAGGGGGUCUGAGAGGAUGAUCCCCCACACUGGUACUGAGACACGGACCAGACUCCUACGGGAGGCAGCAGUGAGGAAUAUUGGGCAAUGGACGCAAGUCUGACCCAGCCAUGCCGCGUGCAGGAUGAAUGCCCUAUGGGUUGUAAACUGCUUUUAUUUGGGAAGAAACCCACGCUCGUGAGCGUGGCUGACGGUACCAAAAGAAUAAGCAUCGGCUAACUCCGUGCCAGCAGCCGCGGUAAUACGGAGGAUGCAAGCGUUAUCCGGAUUUAUUGGGUUUAAAGGGUGCGCAGGCGGGAAAUUAAGUCAGUGGUGAAAUCCUGCAGCUUAACUGCAGAACUGCCAUUGAUACUGGUUUCCUUGAGUGCAGUUGAGGUGGGCGGAAUGUGUAAUGUAGUGGUGAAAUGCUUAGAUAUUACACAGAACACCAAUUGCGUAGGCAGCUCACUAAACUGUUACUGACGCUCAGGCACGAAAGCGUGGGGAGCGAACAGGAUUAGAUACCCUGGUAGUCCACGCUGUAAACGAUGAUCACUCGUUGUUGGCGAUACAUUGUCAGCGACCAAGCGAAAGCAUUAAGUGAUCCACCUGGGGAGUACGGUCGCAAGAUUGAAACUCAAAGGAAUUGACGG
rnacentral:rRNA from 1 species